rnacentral:rRNA from 1 species
CCUACGGGAGGCAGCAGUGAGGAAUAUUGGUCAAUGGGCGCGAGCCUGAACCAGCCAAGUAGCGUGAAGGAUGACUGCACUACGUGUUGUAAACUUCUUUUAUAAGGGAAUAAAGUGAGGCACGUGUGCCUGUUUGUAUGUACUUUAUGAAUAAGGAUCGGCUAACUCCGUGCCAGCAGCCGCGGUAAUACGGAGGAUCCGAGCGUUAUCCGGAUUUAUUGGGUUUAAAGGGAGCGUAGAUGGGUUGGUAAGUCAGUUGUGAAAGUUUGAGGCUCAACCAUAAAAUUGCAAUUGAUACUGGCAGUCUUGAGUAGAGUUGAGGUAGGCGGAAUUCGUGGUGUAGCGGUGAAAUGCUUAGAUAUCACGAAGAACUCCGAUUGCGAAGGCAGCUUACCAAACUGCCACUGACAUUGAUGCUCGAAAGUGUGGGUAUCAAACAGGAUUAGAUACCCCUGUGGUC